rnacentral:rRNA from 1 species
UACAGGGGGGGCGAGCGUUGUUCGGAAUUACUGGGCGUAAAGCGUGCGCAGGCGGCUUUGCAAGACAGAUGUGAAAUCCCCGGGCUCAACCUGGGAACUGCAUUUGUGACUGCAUGGCUAGAGUACGGUAGAGGGGGAUGGAAUUCCGCGUGUAGCAGUGAAAUGCGUAGAUAUGCGGAGGAACACCGAUGGCGAAGGCAAUCCCCUGGACCUGUACUGACGCUCAUGCACGAAAGCGUGGGGAGCAAACAGG